UACGAAGGUCCCAAGCGUUGUUCGGAAUUACUGGGCGUAAAGCGCACGUAGGCGGCUUUGCAAGUCAGAGGUGAAAGCCCGGGGCUCAACCCCGGAAUUGCCUUUGAGACUGCAUCGCUAGAAUUGUGGAGAGGUAAGUGGAAUUCCGAGUGUAGAGGUGAAAUUCGUAGAUAUUCGGAAGAACACCAGUGGCGAAGGCGACUUACUGGACACAUAUUGACGCUGAGGUGCGAAAGCGUAGGGAGCAAACAGG
rnacentral:rRNA from 1 species